UAGGGAAUAUUGGACAAUGGGCGCAAGCCUGAUCCAGCCAUGCCGCGUGAGUGAAGAAGGCCCUCGGGUUGUAAAGCUCUUUUGUCCGGAAAGAAAAACCUUGGGUUAAUACCCUGAGGUUCUGACGGUACCGCAAGAAUAAGCACCGGCUAACUUCGUGCCAGCAGCCGCGGUAAUACGAAGGGUGCAAGCGUUACUCGGAAUUACUGGGCGUAAAGCGUGCGUAGGUGGUUCGUUAAGUCCGAUGUGAAAGCCCUGGGCUCAACCUGGGAAUGGCAUUGGAUACUGGCGGGCUAGAGUGCGGUAGAGGGUAGUGGAAUUCCCGGUGUAGCAGUGAAAUGCGUAGAGAUCGGGAGGAACAUCCGUGGCGAAGGCGACUACCUGGACCAGCACUGACACUGAGGCACGAAAGCGUGGGGAGCAAACA
rnacentral:rRNA from 1 species